UACGUAUGGUGCAAGCGUUAUCCGGAUUUACUGGGUGUAAAGGGAGCGCAGGCGGUGCGGCAAGUCUGAUGUGAAAGCCCGGGGCUCAACCCCGGGACUGCAUUGGAAACUACCGAACUAGAGUGUCGGAGAGGUAAGUGGAAUUCCUAGUGUAGCGGUGAAAUGCGUAGAUAUUAGGAGGAACACCAGUGGCGAAGGCGGCUUACUGGACGAUAACUGACGCUGAGGCUCGAAAGCGUGGGGAGCAAACA
rnacentral:rRNA from 1 species